UGGUAGGAUAUGCAACAUUCUGGGCCGAUCCUCAAGUAAGUAGGAUGAGUUUAGCGCUCGAUUCUCGACAACCGGCUCGGCCUCCGCCUCAGCCUGGCCCAGCAAGUGGACGGGCGGGCAAAGACCGACGCUGGAUGUCAAUGAGGACGUG
rnacentral:misc_RNA from 1 species